AUUGGACGCUGGCGGCAUGCCUUACACAUGCAAGUCGAACGGCAGCAUGAUCUAGCUUGCUAGAUUGAUGGCGAGUGGCGAACGGGUGAGUAAUACAUCGGAACGUGCCCUGUAGUGGGGGAUAACUAGUCGAAAGAUUAGCUAAUACCGCAUACGACCUGAGGGUGAAAGUGGGGGACCGCAAGGCCUCAUGCUAUAGGAGCGGCCGAUGUCUGAUUAGCUAGUUGGUGAGGUAAAGGCUCACCAAGGCGACGAUCAGUAGCUGGUCUGAGAGGACGAUCAGCCACACUGGGACUGAGACACGGCCCAGACUCCUACGGGAGGCAGCAGUGGGGAAUUUUGGACCAUGGGGGCAACCCUGAUCCAGCAAUGCCGCGUGUGUGAAGAAGGCCUUCGGGUUGUAAAGCACUUUUGUCCGGAAAGAAAUCGCACUUACUAAUAUUAGGUGUGGAUGACGGUACCGGAAGAAUAAGGACCGGCUAACUACGUGCCAGCCGCCGCAGUAAUAC
rnacentral:rRNA from 1 species